rnacentral:rRNA from 1 species
AUGGGCGGAGCCUGAUCCAGCGACGCCGCGUGAAGGAGAAGGCCUUCGGGUUGUAAACUUCUGUACUAGGGGAAUAAAAGGCCUGUGGACACACAGGAAAAGAAAGUAGGCUAGGAAAAGUCCCGGCUAACUACUAAGCCAGCAGCCGCGGAAAUACGUAGGGGGCAAGCGUUACCCGGAAUUACUGGGCGUAAAGGGGGCGUAGGCGGUAAAA